CCUACGGGAGGCAGCAGUGAGGAAUAUUGGUCAAUGGCCGAGAGGCUGAACCAGCCAAGUCGCGUGAGGGAAGACGGCCCUACGGGUUGUAAACCUCUUUUGUCGGGGAGCAAAGCGAACCACGUGUGGUUCAUUGAGAGUCCCCGAAGAAAAAUCAUCGUCUAACUCCGUGCCAACAGCCGCGGUAAUACGGAGGAUGCGACCGUUAUCCGUGUUUAUUGUGUUUAAAGGUUGCGCAGGCGGAGGUGGAAGUCAGCGGUCAAAUUGCGGGGCUCAACCCCGUACUGCCGUUGAAACUGCAUCCCUUGAGUGCGCGAGAAGUAUGCGGAAUGCGUGGUGUAGCGGUGAAAUGCAUAGAUAUCACGCAGAACUCCGAUUGCGAAGGCAGCAUACCGGCGCGCAACUGACGCUCAUGCACGAAAGCGUGGGUAUCGAACAGGAUUAGAUACCCUGGUAGUC
rnacentral:rRNA from 1 species